CGCUGUACUGGCACUGCUGCAGCUCCUGUUCCCUGCACUGUAGGAAGGGCUGUCGAGUUCAUUGCAGGCCAUCCUUUACCUGCUCAAGAAUUCUUCUCAUCCAUAUUUAUGUUUUGUUUGUUGGUUUGCUCUGGUUUUAGUAUUGGGUAGGGAGAUGGUCUCGAGCUCGAGCUUUGAAGUAGAUUUAAUUUACACAGGUCUACCUCCAAAUGGAAUGUAAUUGCUUUAUUUGUUUGUGUCUAUUCAUCUAUAGAGAG
rnacentral:lncRNA from 1 species